rnacentral:rRNA from 1 species
UACGUAGGGUGCGAGCGUUAAUCGGAAUUACUGGGCGUAAAGCGUGCGCAGGCGGUAAGUUAAGUCUGAUGUGAAAGCCCCGGGCUCAACCUGGGAAUGGCAUUGGAAACUGGCUUGCUGGAGUGUGGCAGAGGGGGGUGGAAUUCCGCGUGUAGCAGUGAAAUGCGUAGAGAUGCGGAGGAACACCGAUGGCGAAGGCAGCCCCCUGGGCCAACACUGACGCUUAGGCACGAAAGCGUGGGGAGCAAACAGG